AACAACAUGACCUCCAAGACAGGGUCACCGUACCACUCUGUAGCAGUACGCGACCUUGUCGACCUACGAGGUUUGUAGUAGCUUGAUCAGAAGCUUAAUGAUCACAAUCAUUAGUUUCCACUUCAAUUUGCGUAGGCGCCACAUGAACAAAUUCCUGCGCCCUGCUACACACUAGUUGAAGUGAUGGUUCAAUAACCUCAUCAAGUUCCACCAUCCUCCCACUCAGUUCUUUCGAGAGAAACUUUUCCUCGAGAAAGGACCCGUUUCUAGAAACAAACACUUUGCUUCCGGAUCUGAGAUAGGAGGUAUACCCAACUAUUUUGGGUGUCCUAUGAAGAUGCGUUUAUCCGCUCUGGGUUCGAGCUUAUCAUGCUGAAACUUUUCCACAUGAGCAUCGCAGCCCCAAACUUUUAAGAAACGACAGCUUAGGUUUCUCCAAACCAUAGUUCAUACGGUGUCAUCUCAACGGAAUUACGUGGUACCCUAUUUAAAGUGAAUGUGGUUGUCUCUAAUGCCUAACCCAAAACGAUAGUGGUAUUUCGAUAAGAGACAUCAUAGUAUGCACCAUAUCAAAUAGGGCGCGGCUAUGACAUUCAGACAAACCAUCACACUAUGGUGUUCUAGGUGGCAUGAACUGCAAAACAAUUUCCACAUUGUCUUAACCGUGUACCAAAACUCGCAGCUCAGAUAUUCAUCUCUAUGAUCAUAUCGUAGACAGUUUAUCCUCUUGUCACGAUGAUCUUCACUCUGGAAUAGCUUUGAACUUUUCAAUAUUUCAGACUUGUGAUUCAUCAAGUAAAUACUCAUGUAUCUACUCAAAUCAUCAGUGAAGUGAGAACAUAACGAUAUCCACUGCGUGCCUUAGCACUCAUUGGACUGCACAUAUCAAAAAUCUAUUGCAUCCAACAAGUUACUUUCUUGUUCCAUGUGGUAUGAUUUUGCAUGUCUCAAGUGAGUUAAAAUCAAGUGAUUCCAAACGAUCCAUCUGCAUGGAGUUUCUUCAUGCGUUUAUACCAACAGGUAUGGUUUCCAUGUCUCAAACGUUUCAAAAAUGAGUGAGUACAAAGAUCCAUAAGCAUGGAGUUUCUUCAUGCAUUUUACACCAACAUGACUCAAGCGGCAGUGCCACAAGUAAGUGGUUCUAUCAUUAUUACUUUGUAUCUUUUGGCACCACUAUUAUGAAUAUGUGUAACACUACGAUCGAGAUUCAAUAAAUCAUUGAAGGUAAUUAUUCAAGAAAAUAGAAUAACCAUUAUUCUCUUUAAAUGAAUAAUCGUAUUGCAAUAAACACGAUCCAAUCAUGUUCAUGCUCAAAGCAAACACCAAAUAACAAUUAUUUAGGUUUAACACCAAUCCCGAUGGUAGAGGGAGCGUGCGAUGUUUUGAUCACAUCAACCUUGGAAACACUUUCAACACGUAUCGUCACCUCGCCUUUAGCUAGUCUCCGUUUAUUUCGUAGCUUUUAUUUCGAGUUACCAAUCACUUAGCAACCGAACCGGUAUCUAAUACCCUCGUGCUACUAGGAGUACUAGUAAAGUACACAUCAAUAUCAUGUAUAUCAAAUAUACUUCUGUUGACUUCGCCAGCCUACUCAUCUACCAAGUAUAUAGGGUAGCUCCGCCUCAGUGACCGUUCACCUCAUAACAAAAGCACUUAAUCUCGGGUUUGGGUUCAAUCUUGGGUUUCUUCAUUAGAGCAGCAACUGGUUUGUCGUUUCAUGAAGUAUCUCUUCUAGCCCUUGCCCUUCUUGAAACUAGUGGUUUUACUAACCAUCAACAAUUGAUGCUCCUUCUUGAUUUCUACUUUCGUAGUGUCAAACAUUGUGAAUCGCUCAAGGAUCAUCAUAUAUAUCCUUGAUAUGUUAUAGUUCAUCACGAAGCUCUAGCAGCUUGGUGGCAGUGACUUUGGAGAACCAUCACUAUCUCAUCUGGAAGAUUAACUCCCACUUGAUUCAAGCGAUUGUUAUACUGAGCACAUGCUCAACGAUUGAGCUUUUCUCCUUUACUUUGUAGACAAAGAAUCUUGUUGGAGGUCUCAUACCUUUCAACAAGGGCACGAGCAUGAAAUCUCAAUUUCAUAUCUUAGAACAUCUUUUAUGUUCCGUGACGUUUCAAAAUGUCUUCGGCGUCUUGCAUCUAAGCCAUUAAGUAUUACGCACUGAACUAUCACGUAGUCAUGAAAAAUGUGUAUGUCAGAUGUUCGCAACAUCCACAGACGACGCUUGAGGUGCAGCACACCGAGUGGUGCAUUAAGGACAUAAGCCUUCUACGCAGCAAUGAGGACAAUCCUCAGUUUUACGUACUCAGUCCGCAAAGUUACUACUAUCAUCUUUCAACUAAAUUUUCUCUAGGAACAUAUAAAAAAACAGUAGAGCUAUAGCGCAAGCUACAUCAUAAUUCGCAAAGACCUUUUGACCAUGCUCAUGAUAAUUAGUUCAAUUAAUCAUAUUACUUAAGAACUCCCACUCAAAAAAUACAUCCCUCUAGUCAUUUCAGUGGUGCAUGAUCCAAAUCCACUAACCCAAGUCCGAUCAUCACGUGAGUUGCGUAUAGUUUCAGUGGUAAACAUCUCUAUGCUAAUCAUAUCAACUAUAUGAUUCAUGCUCGACCUUUCGGUCUCUUGUGUUCCGAGGCCAUGUCUGCACAUGCUAAGCUCGUCAAGUUUAACCCGAGUGUUCCGCGUGUGCAACUGUUUUGCACCCGUUGUAUGCGAACGUUGAGUCUAUCACACCCGAUCAUCACGUGGUGUCUCGAAACGACGAACUGUCGCAACGGUGCAUAGUCGGGGAGAACACAAUUUUAUCUUGAAAUUUUAGUGAAGGAUCACGUUAUAAUGCUACCAUCGUUCUAAGAAAGAUAAGGUGCAUAAAAGGAUUAACAGCACAUGCAAUUCAUAAGUGACAUGAUAUGGCCAUGAUCUUGUGCUUCUUGAUCUCCAUCACCAAAGCACCGACAUGAUCUUCAUCGUCACCGGCACCACACCAUGAUCUCCACCAUCGUGCCGCCAUCGAGGUUGUCGUGCUAUAUACGCUAUCACUACUAAAGCUACAACCUAGCGAUAUAGUAAACGCAUAUGCAAACACAAACGUUAGUUUAAAGACAACCUUAUGGAUCCUGCCAGUUGCCGUAGCAUCGACGUGCAAGUCGAUAUUUAACUAUUACAAAAUGAUCAUCUCAUACAUCCAAUAUAUCACAUCAUGUCUUUGGCCAUAUCACAUCACAUGCAUACCCUGCAAAAACAAGUUAGACAUCCUCUAAUUUGUUGUUGCAUGUUUUACGUGGCUCCUAUGGGUAUCUAGUAUGAUCGCAUCUUACUUACGCAUAGCCACAACGGUAAUAUGCAAAUUGCUAUUUAACCUUUCUCCAAGGACCGCCUCGGUCAAAUCCGAUUCAACUAAAGUUGAAGAAACAGACACCCGCCAGUCAUCUUUAUGCAACAAGUUGCAUGUUAGUCGAUGAAACCGGUCUCUUGUAAGCGUACGAUUAAGGUUGGUUUGGGCCGCUUCAAUCCAACAAUACCGCCGAAUCGAGAAAAUACUAAGGAGGGCAGCAAAUUGAACAUCAAUGCCCACAAAAACUUGUUUGUUCUACUCGAGAUUACAUCUACGCAUGAACCUAGCUCAUGAUGCCACUAUUGGGGAACGUUUCAUGGGAAACUAAAAAAUUCCUACACACACGAAGACCUAUCAUGGUGAUGAUCAUCUACGAGAGGGAGAUCGGGUCCACAUACCCUUGUAGAUCGCUAAGUGGAAAUGUUAAGAAACGUGUAUGAUGUAGUGGUAUGUCUUCACGAUCCGUCCCACGAACCGUCUCACGAUCCGUCCCGAUCAAGUGUUGAACGGACGGCACCUCCGCGUUCCGCACACGUACAGCUCGAUGACGAUCUCCGCCUUCUUGAUCCAGCAAGAGGGGCGGAGAGGUAGAUGAGUUCUCCAGCAUGGCGAUGUGGUGGUGGUGUUGGUGGUGCUAUUCCAGCAGGGCUUCGCCUAAGCACCGCUGAAACUAGAGGAGAAACAGAUCUAGAGAGAGAGGGCAGCACGUGGCUGUUUCUGUUGUCCAAAAACCCUCAAAACCCUUAGUAUAUAUAGGAGGAGAGGAGGGAGAGGGUUGCGCCCUAGAGCAACCUUCUCUUCCCUUGCGCAAGGGAGAGGAGGAGGAGUCCUACUCCAAUCCUAUUUGGAGUAGGAUUCCUCCUUCCCACUUGGAAACUCUUUCCACCUUGUGUUUUUCCUUCUCAAACCUUAUGGGUCUUAGUGGGAACUUAUUCGAGCCCACUAGGGGAUGGUUUAUCUCUUGCCACAGCCCAUAAGGCCUCUUGGGGCGUGACACCCCUCCCGAUGGUCCCCGGCACACCUCCCGGCACUCCCGGUACACUACCGAUGAGCCCGAAACUUUUCCCGUGACCAAAACAGGACUCCCUAUAUAUCAAUCUUCAUUUCCGGACCAUUCUGGAAACCUUCGUGAUGUACGGGAUCUCAUCCGGCACUCUGAACAACCUUCGGUCACCAACACAUAUAACUUAACUAUACCGAAACAUCACCGAACUUUAAGUGUGUAGACCCUGCGGGUUCGAGAACUAUGUAGACAUGACCUGAGACACUCUUCGGUCAAUAACCAACGGCGGGACCUCGAUGUUCAUAUUGGCUCCUACAUAUUCUACGAAUAUCUCUAUCGGUUGAACCUCUAUGUCAAGGAUUAAUAUAAUCCCGUAUACUAUUCCCUUUGUCCUUCGGUAUGUUACUUGCCCGAGAUUCGAUCGUUGGUAUCUCCAUACCGAGUUCAAUCUCGUUACCGGCAAGUCUCUUUACUCGUUCCAUAAUACAAGAUCUCGUGACUAACUCCUUAGUCAUAUUGCUUGCAAGGCUUGUUGUGAUGUUGUAUUACCGAGUGGGCCCCCUAGAUACCACUCCGUCACAUGGAGUGACAAAUCACAGUCUUGAUCCAUGCCAACCUAAUAGACACCUUUGGAGAUACGUGUAGAGCACCUUUAUGGUCACCCAGUUAUGUUGUGACGUUUGAUACACACAAGGCAUUCCUCCGGUGUCCGGGAGUUGUGAUACGUCCAUUUUGCAUCAUGUUUUCAUGUUGAUAUUUAUUGCUUCUUGGGAUGUUAUAUUACUUGUGGUGCCAUAUUUAUGCCUUUUCGCUCUUAUUUUGCAAGGAUUAUUUGAAGAGGGAGAAUUCAGGCAGCUGGAAUUCUGGACUAGAAAAGGAGCAAAUCCUAGUCCACUAUUCUGCACAUCUCCAAAUGCCCUGAAAAUUUUCGUGGAUUUUUUCUAGAAUAUAUUAAAAAUACUGGGCGAAAGAACUACCAGAGGGGGCCACCAGGGCCCCACAAGCUUGCCCACCGCCGCCGCCCCCCUGGUGGCGCACGGCAGGCUUGUGGGCAGCCCACUGGCCCACUAGCCCCCCUCUUUUGCUAUAUGAUGCGUCCUGACCUGGAGAAAAUCAUACAGGAGCUUUUUCGUGGUUUCCCCGCCGCCACAGGGCGGAACUUGAGUAGAUCCAAUCUAGAGCUCCGGCAGGACGAUCUUGUCGGGGAAAUUUCCCUCCCGGAGGGGGGAAUCAUCACCAUCUUCAUCACCAACACUCCUCUCAGCGGAGGGGAGGCAUCUUCAUCAACAUCUUCAUCGGCACCAUCUCUUCUCCAAUCCCUAGUUCAUCUCUUGUAACCAAUCUUCGUCUCGCAACUCAGAUUAGUACUUGUAAGGUUGCUAGUAGUGUUGAUUACUCUUUGUAGUUGAUGCUUGUUGGAUUACUUGGUGGAAGAGUUUAUGUUCAGAUCCUUGAUGCUAUUCAUUACACCUCUGGUCAUGAUUAUGAUUAUAUCUUGUGAGUAGUUACUUUUGUUCCUAAGGACAUGGAAUAAGUCAUGCUGAUAAUAGUCAUGUGAAUUUGAUAUUCGUUCAGUAUUUUGAUAUGAUGUAUGUUGUUUUUCCUCUAGUGGUGUUAUGUGAACGUGGACUACAUAACACUUCACCAUAUUUGAGCCUAGAGGAAGGCAUUGUGAAGUAGUAAGUAGAUGAUGGGUUGCUGGAGUGACAGAAGCUUAAACCCCAGUUUAUGCGUUGCUUCGUGAGGGGAUGAUUUGGAUCCACUAGUUUAAUGCUAUGGUUAGACUUUGUCUUAAUUCUUCUUUUGUAGUUGCGGAUGCUUGCUAGAGAGGUUAAUCAUAAGUGGGAUGCUUGUCCAAGUAAGGUCAGUACCCAAGCGCCGGUCCACCCACAUAUCAAACUAUCAAAGUAACGAACGCGAAUCAUAUGAACAUGAUGAAACUAGCAUGACAGAAAUUCUCAUGUGUCCUCGGGAGCAUUUUUCCUCCUAUAUGACUUUGUUCAGGCUUGUCCCUUGCUACAAAAGGGAUUGGGCCACUUGCUGCACCGUUGCUACUACUUGUUAUUUGUUACUCUUUGCUUGCUACGUUUCACCUCGCUACACAAUCACUUGUUACCGCUACUUUCAGUGCUUGCAGUUAUUACCUUGCUGAAAUUCGUUUAUCACAGCCUUCUGCUCCUCGUUGGGUUCGACAAUCUUACUUAUAGAAAGGACUAUGAUUGAUCCCCUAUACUUGUGUUGGAAAUAUGCCCUAGAGGCAAUAAUAAAUUAGUUAUUAUUAUAUUUCUUUGUUCAUGAUAAUCGUUUCUUAUCCAUGCUAUAAUUGUAUUGAUUGGAAACACAGUGCAUGUGUGGAUACACAGACAAAACACAGUCCCUAGUAAGCCUCUAGUUGACUAGCUCGUUGAUCAAAGAUGGUCAAGGUUUCCUGACCAUAGGCAAGUGUUGUCACUUGAUAACGGGAUCACAUCAUUAGGAGAAUCAUGUGAUGGACUAGACCCAAACUAAUAAGACGUAGGAUGUUGAUCGUGUCAUUUUGUUGCUAUUGUUUUCUGCGUCUCAAGUAUUUGUUCCUAUGACCAUGAGAUCAUAUAACUCACUGACACCGGAGGAAUGCUUUGUGUGUAUCAAACGUUGCAACGUAACUGGGUGACUAUAAAGAUGCUCUAUAGGUAUCUCCGAAGGUGUUCGUUGAGAUAGUAUGGAUCGAGACUGGGAUUUGUCACUCCGUGUGACGGAGAGGUAUCUCGGGGCCCACUCGGUAAUACAACAUCACNNNNNNNNNNNNNNNNNNNNNNNNNNNNNNNNNNNNNNNNNNNNNNNNNNNNNNNNNNNNNNNNNNNNNNNNNNNNNNNNNNNNNNNNNNNNNNNNNNNNNNNNNNNNNNNNNNNGGUAAACGAGAUUGAAAUAGGUAUGCGGAUACUGACGAUCGAAUCUCGGGCAAGUAACAUACCGAAGUACAAAGGGAAUGACAUACGGGAUUAUAUGAAUCCUUGGCACCGAGGUUCAAACGAUAAGAUCUUCGUAGAAUAUGUAGGAUCCAAUAUGGGCAUCCAAGUCCCGCUAUUGGAUAUUGACCGAGGAGUCACUCGGGUCAUGUCUACAUAGUUCUCGAACCCGCAGGGUCUGUACACUUAAGGUUCGACGUUGUUUUAUGCGUAUUUGAGUUAUAUGGUUGGUUACCGAAUGUUGUUCGGAGUCCCGGAUGAGAUCACGGACAUCACGAGGGUUUCCGGAAUGGUCCGGAAACAAAGAUUGAUAUAUAGGAUGACCUCAUUUGAUUACCGGAAGGUUUUCGGAGUUACCGGGAAUAUACCGGGAAUGACGAAUGGGUUCCUCGGAAUGUACCAGGAAUGACGAAUGGGUUCCGGGUGUUCACCGGGGGGGCAACCCACCCCGGGGAAGCCCAUAGGCCUUGGGGGUGGCGCACCAGCCCUUAGUGGGCUGGUGGGACAGCCCAAUAAGGCCCUAUGCGCCAUAGGAAGAAAAUCAAAGAGAAAAAGGAAAAAAGAAAAGGGGAGGUGAGAAAAAGGGGAAGGACUCCACCUUCCAAACCUAGUUGGAUUCGGUUUGGAAGGGGAGGACUCCCCCCCUUGGCUCGACCGACCCCCAAGGCAAGGCCCCCCUCUCCCACCUAUAUAUACGGAGGUUUUAGGGUUGAUUUGAGACAACUUUGCCACGGCAGCCCGACCACAUACCACCAUGGUUUUACCUCUAGAUCGCGUUUCUGCGGAGCUCGGGUGGAGCCCUGCUGAGAUUAGAUCACCACCAAACUCCGGAGCGCCGUCAUGCUGCCCGAGAACUCAUCUACCUCUCCGUCUCUCUUGCUGGAUCAAGAAGGCCGAGAUCAUCGUCGAGCUGUACGUGUGCUGAACGCGGAGGUGCCGUCCGUUCGGCACUAGAUCGUGGGACGGAUCGCGGGACGGUUUGCGGGGCGGAUCGAGGGACGUGAGGACGUUCCACUACAUCAACCGCGUUUCUUAACGCUUCUGCUGUGCGAUCUACAAGGGUACAUAGAUCAAAUAUCCCCUCUCGUAGAUGGACAUCACCAUGAUAGGUCUUCGUGCGCGUAGGAAAAUUUUUGUUUCCCAUGCGACGUUCCCCAACAACUUGUGGGUCAUCAAGACUCUUUUCUGGCGCCGUUGCCGGGGAGUGAAGCGCCUUUGGUAAGUGGAAAUUGGUAAGGAAACAAUUUUAUACUGUGCUGAAAUUUAUUGUCACUUGUCACUAUGGAAACUCUUCCUUUGAGGAGUUUGUUCGGGGUAUCUUCACCAUGAACGGAAGCACGAGGAUUUGCUCCUCAACCUGAGGUACCUACUGAAAAUAUCUUUUAUAAAAUUCCUUUGGGUAUGCUUGAGAAAUUGCUGGCUAAUCCUUUUACAGGAGAUGGAUCUUCACAUCCAGACUUUCAUCUAAUCUAUGUAGAUGAAGUUUGUGGUUUAUUUAAGCUUGCAGGUUUGCCCGAGGAUGAGGUAAAGAAGAAACUCUUUCCUUUAUCUUUGAAGGAUAAGGCAUUGACAUGGUAUAGGCUAUGUGAUGAUACUGGAUCAUGCAGCUACAAUCGGUUGAAAUUGGAAUUUCAUCAAAAGUUCUAUCCCAUGCAUUUAGUAUAUCAUGAUCGGAACUUUAUUUAUAACUUUUGGCCUCGUGAUAGGGAAAGCAUAGCUCAAGCUUGGGGGAGGCUUAAAUCAAUGCUAUAUUCAUGCCCCAAUCAUGAGCUCUCGAGAGAAAUCAACACUCAAAACAUUUAUGCUCGGAUUUCUCAUGAAGAUCGUACCAUGCUUGAUACUUCUUGUGCCGGUUCUUUUAUGAAGAAGAAUAUUGAUCACAAGUGGAAUUUAUUGGAGAGAAUCAAACGCAACUCUGGAGAUUGGGAGCUGGAGGAAGGUAAGGACUCAGGUAUGAAUUUCUAUUUUGAUUGCGUUAAAUCUUUUGUUGAGACAAACACUUCUAGAGAGCGCUAAGUAUGGACUUGACUCUGAGAUAGUAGCUUCUCUUUGUAAAUCUUUUGCUGCUCAUGUUGAUCUUCCCAAAGAGAAGUGGUUUAAAUAUCAUCCUCCUGUAGAAAGCAACAUAGCCAAAACCAAUCUAGUUGAGGAGAAAAUCAUAGCUUUUAGUGAUCCUGUUGUUCCUUGUGCUUACACUGAGAAACCACCAUACCCUGCUAGGAUGAAGGAUUAUUCUAAAGCUCCAACUGUGAUACGUAGGGGUUACAUUAGACCACUUGCACCCCCUGAAGAGAUUAGAGUUGAACCUAGUGUUGCUAUUAUCAAAGAUCUCUUAGCCAAAGAGAUAGAUGGGCAUGUUAUCAAAUUCUGUGAGGACUCCGCUAGAAUUGCUAAACCUCACGCGAAAGACAAGCACGGACCUGUAGUUGGCCUGCCCGUUGUUUCUGUUAAGAUAGGAGAUCACUGUUACCAUGGUUUAUGUGAUAUGGGAGCUAGUGUUAGUGCAAUACCCCGUUCUCUAUAUGAUGAAAUCAAAGAUGAGAUUGCACCAGCUGAGAUAGAACCCAUUGAUGUCACUAUCACGCUAGCUAAUAGAGACACUAUAUGCCCUUUGGGAAUUGUGAGAGAUGUAGAAGUCCUGUGUGGUAAGACGAAGUAUCCUACUGAUUUCCUCGUCCUUGGUACUACACAAGAUAGCUUUUGUCCCAUCAUAUUCGGUAGACCCUUUCUCAACACUAUCAAUGCUCACAUUGAUUGCAUUAAGCAGACUGUCAUAGUAAGUUUCGAGGGUGUGUCUCAUGAAUUUAACUUCUCCAAGUUUGGAAGACAACCCCAUGAAAGAGAUUCAUCUGGUAGGGAUGAAAUCAUUGCUCUUUCCUCUAUUGCCAUACCUCCUACGAAUCCUUUAGAGCAAUAUCUGCUUGAGCAUGAAAAUGAUAUGCAUACGGAGGAGAGAGAUGAGAUAGAUAGAAUUGUCUUAGAACAAUGUCCUAUUCUCAAGAAUAAUCUGCAUGUUGAACUGCUUGGGGAUCCUCCCCCACCAAAGGGUGAUCCUGUGUUCGAGCUUAAACAGUUGCCUGAUACUCUUAAGUAUGCCUAUCUUGAUGAGAAGGAGAUAUAUCCUGUCAUUAUUAGUGCUCUCCUCUCAGAGCGUGAAGAGAAGAAGUUACUAAAAACUCUGAGGAAGCACCGCGCUGCUAUUGGAUAUACUCUUGAUGAUCUUAAGGGUAUUAGUCCUACUCUAUGUCAGCACAAGAUUAAAACCGAUCCUGACUUUAAACCAGUUGCUGAUCAUCAAAGGAGAUUAAAUCCUAAGAUGAAAGAGGUCGUUAGAAAAGAAAUAUUAAAGCUUCUGGAAGCAGGAAUCAUUUAUCCUAUUGCUCAUAGUGAUUGGGUAAGUCCAGUACAUUGCGUACCUAAGAAGGGAGGUAUCACCGUCGUUCCUAAUGAUAAGGAUGAACUAAUCCCACAAAGGAUUAUUACCGGCUAUAGAAUGGUGAUAGACUUCCGGAAACUGAACAAGGCAACCAGGAAAGAUCAUUAUCCUUUGCCGUUCAUCGACCAAAUGCUAGAAAGGCUAUCAAAGCACACACACUUUUGCUUUCUAGACGGUUAUUCAGGUUUCUCGCAAAUACCUGUUGCAUAAUUUGAUCAAGAGAAAACCACCUUCACCUGCCCUUUCGAUACCUUUGCCUAUAGAUGUAUGCCUUUUGGCUUAUGUAAUGCACCUGCCACCUUUCAAAGAUGUAUGAUGGCUAUAUUCUCUGACUUUUGUGAAAAGAUUGUCGAGGUUUUCAUGGAUGACUUCUCCAUUUACGGGUCUUCCUUUGAUGAUUGCCUCAGCAACCUUGAUCGAAUCUUACAGAGAUGCGAAUAAACCAACCUCGUCUUGAAUUGGGAGAAGUGCCACUUUAUGGUUAAUGAAGGUAUCGUCUUAGGACACAAAAUCUCUGAAAGAGGCAUUGAAGUUGAUAAGGCUAAGGUUGAUGCAAUUGAGAAAAUGCCUUGCCCCACAGAUAUCAGAGGUAUACGAAGUUUCCUAGGUCAUGCUGAUUUCUAUAGAAGGUUCAUUAAAGACUUCUCUAAGAUUUCUAGGCCUCUUACCAACCUCUUGCAGAAGGAUGUUCCUUUUGUUUUUGAUGAGGAUUGUGAGGAAGCCUUCGAAAUACUUAAGAAGGCUUUGAUAACCGCACCUAUUGUUCAACCACCUGACUGGAACUUUCCCUUUGAAAUCAUGUGUGACGCUAGUGAUUAUGCUGUUGGUGUUGUUCUAGGACAAAGAGUUGACAAGAAGUUGAAUGUCAUUCACUACGCUAGUAAAACUCUAGACAGUGCCCAAAGGAACUAUGCCACUACGGAGAAGGAAUUUUUAGCACUCGUGUUUGCAUGUGAAAAAAUCAGAUCUAACAUAGUUGACUCCAAGGUCACUAUUCACUCUGAUCAUGCUCCUAUUAAGUACCUUAUGGAGAAGAAGGACGCUAAGCCUAGGCUUAUCAGAUGGGUUCUCCUGCUACAGGAAUUUGAUUUGCACGUCAUUGACCGAAAGGGUGCUGAUAACCCUGUAGCAGAUAACUUGUCUAGGCUAGAGAAUGUCCUUGAUGACCCACUACCAAUUGAUGACAGCUUUCCUGAUGACCAAUUAAAUGUCAUCCGCACUUCACUUAGUGCACCAUGGUAUGCCGAUUAUGCAAACUAUAUCGUAGCCAAAUACAUACCACCCAGUUUCACCUAUCAACAAAAGAAGAAAUUCUUCUUUGAUUUGAGACACUACUUUUGGGAUGAUCCUCACCUUUAUAAGGAAGGAGUAGAUGGUGUUAUUAGACGUUGUGUGCCUGAACAUGAACAGGGACAGAUCCUGCAGAAGUGUCAUUCCGAAGCCUACGGAGGACACCACGCUGGAGAUAGAACUGCCCAUGAGGUAUUGCAAUCAGGUUUCUAUUGGCCCACUCUCUUCAAGGAUGCUCGUAAGUUUGUCUUGUCUUGUGACAAAUGCCCAAGGAUAGGGAACAUCAGUAAGCGUCACAAGAUGCCUAUGAACUAUUCACUUGUCAUUGAACCAUUUGAUGUCUGGGGCUUUGAUUAUAUGGGACCCUUCCCGAGUUCCAGUGGGUACACUCACAUCUUAGUUGUUGUGGAUUACGUUACUAAGUGGGUAGAAGCUAUCCCCACUAAAAAUGCUGAUCACCACAACUCUAUUAAGAUGCUUAAAGAAGUUAUAUUCCCAAGAUUUGGAGUCCCUAGAUACUUGAUGACUGAUGGCGGUUCACACUUCAUUCAUGGUGUUUUCCGCAAGAUGCUAGCUAAGUAUGAUGUCAACCAUAGAGUUGCAUCUCCUUAUCAUCCUCAGUCUAGUGGUCAAUUGGAGUUGAGUAAUAGGGAGAUCAAGUUGAUCUUACAAAAGACCGUCAAUAGAUCCCGAAAGAACUGGUCUAGCAAACUUGACGAUGCACUAUGGGCUUAUAGGACUGCUUAUAAAAAUCCCAUGGGCAUGUCACCGUAUAAAAUGGUUUACGGUAAGGCCUGUCAUUUACCUCUUGAGUUGGAACACAAAGCUUAUUGGGCAAUCAAAGAGCUCAACUUUGAUUUCAAACUUGCCAGUGAGAAGCGGUUGUUUGAUAUCAGCUUGUUGGAUGAAUGGAGAGCCCAGGCAUAUGAGAAUACCACGUCGUCAAGGAAAAGGUUAAGAGAUGGCACGACAAACGAAUACAGAAACGAGAGUUCAAUGUAGGUGAUUAUGUCUUGCUAUACAAUUCUCGUUUGAGAUUCUUUGGAGGCAAGCUUCUCUCUAAAUGGGAAGGUCCCUACGUUGUCGAGGAAGUAUAUCGUUCCGGUGCCAUCAAAAUCAAUAAUACAAGGAAAUUUUCCUAGAGUGGUAAAUGGGCAAAGAAUCAAGCAUUACAUCUCUGGUACUCCCAUAAAUGUUGAGACCAAUAUCAUCAAUGUCAUAACUCCACAGGAGUACAUAAGGGAUGUUUAUCAGCCUGUUUCAGACCUUGAAAACGAAGAUGUAUCUGUUUCGGCAAGAAAUUGGACUCCGAUACUUUUCCAAUAGGAAAUUUCCUCAGUUUUGGAAUUUUUGGAAAAUUAGAAAAAUAAAAAAGCAGUCCGGAGAGCAAACGAGGAAGCCACAAGGGCCCACUCCGCCACCACCCCCUGGUGGCGGUGGGCAAGCUUGUGGGCACCUUGUGUGCCUCCCGGACUCCGUUUUCUUGCAGAGGACUCCUUCUGGCCCAGAAAAAAUCAAUAUAUAGUUGCCCGAAGGUUUUGAUCUUCAUAUCGCGUAGUUUUCCUCUGUUUUCGUUUCGAGCUUGUUUCUGCCGCAGAUCUAGAUCAUCAUGACUUCCCCAAACGCUCCUAAGGACAAGAUCUUGGAGAAGGUCAUCAAUCCCUACCUCACGGAAGUGCUAAAACACCAUCAAUCUAUCAAGAUGAGCGAGGGGAUGUUGCACAUCCGUGAUGUUGAGGGGCCUAAGAAGACCGGAAGCAUGGAGACGAGGCUCGAAGUAGUGGAGCAACAAGUCUUCAUGUGCCAAGGGAUGGUUGAGCGUGGACUCAACGCCAACCACACGAUGAUCACGGAGUUCACUAGCAAUCACAAGAUGGAUGUCAUUGAUAUCGGGAAACACCUCUCCAGACUUUACGAUAGGGUUGACCAACUUCAGGGCCAAAUCUAUGACCUGCAGAAUCAAAACUGUGAGUAUGGGUAUAGAUUUAAAUCAAUAAGGUUGGCUGCAGAUUUGAGGAUUUCGGCUACUCGUUCAUCCUGCCAUGAUGGAGCACCUAUGCCUUGGAAGACGGAGGAUCAGACUACUCCAACAACACCACCAUCAUCACCAAAGGAAGACAACUAAGCAUUGGUAUGGGCAAUCCCCUUGGCUUCUGCCGAGCUUGGGGGAGUUGCCCUGGUAUCAUAUCACCUUUAUAUCUUUUGCUUUUACCUUUGUUUUAGUUCUUUCCCUUUCAGUUUUUAUUUCUUCUUUUAGAGGAAUAAGUCUUUAGUUUUUAGUUUGAGUCUUUUGCUUUUGGUCUCUCCCCCGAUGUAUUCGAGCUUACGAGCUAUAUAAUAAAGAGUGUCUUAGUCAAAGGGCUUUGCUUUGUGCCAUGAUCAAAAGUAUGAAAAGAACGAUAGCAUGAAAGAUCAUGAGACGAUCUUAUGGAAAGUGAUAACUUCACUUAUGACACGUAUGAUGAUUGAAACUUGUCGAGAAUAAAUCAACACAUACCUCAGUCAUUGUUGCAAUUAAUAAGAAGUAAUAAGGAAAGAGAGGUUCACAUAUAAAUAUAUCAUCUUAGACACUUUCUACAAUUGUGAGCACUCACCAAACUAUUACAUGCCUAGGAGUAGAUGUUGGACAAGGAAGACAACAUAAUGAAUUGUGUUUGCUUGGUUCCAAACAAUGUUAUAUGAUUAGAGAUCCCUUAGCAUGUGACGAUUGCUUCCACCUCAUAUUAGCCAAAACUUCCGCACCAAGUAGAGAUACUACUUGUGCAUCCAUAAACCUUCAACCCAGUUUUGCCAUGAGAGUCCACCAUACCUACCUAUGGAUUGAAUAAGAUCCUUCAAGUAAGUUGUCAUCGGUGCAAGCAAUAAAAAUUGCUCUCUAAUAUGUAUGAUCUAUUAGUGUGUGGAAAAUAAGCUUUGUACGAACCUGUGAUGAGGAAGACAUAAAAGCGACAGACUGCAUAAUAAAGUUCUUUGUCACAGGAGGCAAUAUAAAGUGACGUUCCUCCGCACUAAGAGGACACGCAUUCAAACCUCAAAAGUGCAUGACAACCUCUGCUUCCCUCUGCGAAGGGCCUAUCUUGUACCUUUACUUUUACCCUUGUAAGAGUCAUGGUGAUCAUCACCAAUUCCCUUUUUGCCUUCGUCUUGGCUACCGUCACAUGCUUGGAAAAGAUCUAUAUUCAUAUAUCAACUUGGAGUUGAGUACUCAUGCUUUAUUGUUGUUGACUUUACCCUUGAGGUAAACCGUUGGGAGGAAAAACUAUAAGCCCCCAUCUUCCUCUGUGUCGAGCUGAAGCUUUGACACCAUGAGUACCACGUGAGCUAUAAAAAUUGUGGAAAACAAAAGAGAUGAUUGAGUAUGUGGGUUUGCCUUACAAGCUCUUAUUUGACUCUUUCUGAUGUUGUGAUAAAUUGCAAUUGCUUCAAUGAUUAUGGACUAUUGUUGGUUACUUCUCGGUAAGGUUUUUGCUUCAUGCUUUGCUUUGUGAAGGAAUUGUUACUUUCCCAUAAGAAUCUUUAUAUAUAUUGUUGUUCUAUGUGUGAUCAUGAUGCCCUCAUGUCUGUAUUAUGUUUUAUCGACACCUUCGUCCCUCAACAUGUGGACGUGUUUAUGGAACUUGGUUUUCGCUUGAGGACAAGCGAGGUCUAAGCUUGGGGGAGUUGAUACGUCCAUUUUGCAUCAUGUUUUCAUGUUGAUAUUUAUUGCUUCUUGGGAUGUUAUAUUACUUGUGGUGCCAUAUUUAUGCCUUUUCGCUCUUAUUUUGCAAGGAUUAUUUGAAGAGGGAGAAUUCAGGCAGCUGGAAUUCUGGACUAGAAAAGGAGCAAAUCCUAGUCCACUAUUCUGCACAUCUCCAAAUGCCCUGAAAAUUUACGUGGAUUUUUUCUGGAAUAUAUUAAAAAUACUGGGCGAAAGAACUACUGGAGGGGGGCCACCAGGGCCCCACAAGCUUGCCCACCACCACCACCCCCUGGUGGCGCACGGUAGGCUUGUGGGCAGCCCACUAGCCCACUAGCCCCCCUCUUUUGCUAUAUGAUGCGUCCUGACCUGGAAAAAAUCAUACAGGAGCUUUUUCGUGGUUUCGCCGCCACCACGGGGCGGAACUUGAGCAGAUCCAAUCUAGAGCUCUGGCAGGACAAUCCUGCCGGGGAAAUUUCCCUCCCGGAGGGGGGAAUCGUCGCCAUCUUCAUCACCAACACUCCUCUCGUCGGAGGGGAGGCAUCUUCAUCAACAUCUUCAUCAGCACCAUCUCUUCUCCAAUCCCUAGUUCAUCUCUUGUAACCAAUCUUCAUCUCGCAACUCAAAUUGGUACUUGUAAGGUUGCUAGUAGUGUUGAUUACUCUUUGUACUUGAUGCUUGUUGGAUUACUUGGUGGAAGAUUUUAUGUUCAGAUCCUUGAUGCUAUUCAUUACACCUCUGGUCAUGAUUAUGAUUAUGUCUUGUGAGUAGUUACUUUUGUUCCUGAGGACAUGGAAUAAGUCAUGCUGAUAAUAGUCAUGUGAAUUUGAUAUUCGUUCGGUAUUUUGAUAUGAUGUAUGUUGUUUUUCCUCUAGUGGUGUUAUGUGAAUGUCAACUACAUAACACUUCACCAUAUUUGGGUCUAGAGGAAGGCAUUGGAAAGUAGUAAGUAGAUGAUGGGUUGCUGGAGUGACAGAAGCUUGAACCCCAGUUUAUGCGCUACUUCGUGAGGGGUUGAUUUGGAUCCACUAGUUUAAUGCUAUGGUUAGACUUUGUCUUAAUUCUUCUUUUGUAGUUGCGGAUGCUUGCGAGAUAGGUUAAUCAUAAGUGGGAUGCUUGUCCAAGUAAGGGCAGUACCCAAGUGCCGGUCCACCCACAUAUCAAACUAUCAAAGUAACGAAUGCGAAUCAUAUGAACAUGAUGAAACUAGUAUGACAGAAAUUCCCGUGUGUCCUCGGGAGCGUUUUCCUCCUAUAAGACUUUGUUCAGGCUUGUCCCUUGCUACAAAAGGGAUUGGGCCACUUGCUGCACCGUUGCUACUACUUGUUACUUGUUACUCUUUGCUUGCUACGUUUCACCUCGCUACACAAUCACUUGUUACCGCUACUUUCAGUGCUUGCAGUUAUUACCUUGCUGAAAUCCGUUUAUCAGAGCCUUUUGCUCCUCGUUGGGUUCGACACUCUUACUUAUCGAAAUGACUACGAUUGAUCCCCUAUACUUGUGGGUCAUCAAGUUGCGUGAUCACAUGGUCAUAGGAACAGAAACAUUGACAUGCAGAAAAAUAGUAGCAAUAAACUGACACGAUCAUAUGCUACAUUUAUAGUUCGGUUCUUGUCCAUCACAUCAUUCUCCCAAUGAUGUGAUCCCGUCAUCAAGUGACAACACUUGCCUAUGGCCAGGAAACCUUGACCAUCUUUGAUCAACGAGCUAGUCAACUAGAGGCUCACUAGGGACAGUGGGUUGUCUAUGUAUCCACACAUGUAUUUGAGUUUCCAAUCAAUACAAUUCUAGCAUGGAUAAAUAAAUGAUUAUUACGAACAAGGAAAUAUAAUAAUAACCAAUUUAUUAUUGCCUCUAGGGCAUAUUUCCAACAAUUUCUAUGUAAAAGGUGCGGAUAGUACCUCAUUCUCGUCUAUCCCAAGCUGAGGUAUGUCACCGACCCUAUGCUCAUCCAUGCAUACAAAAUUAUCCACUGGAGCCCUGAAUAAUUUUUUAUAGUAUUCAAAGAUAUAUUGUUUGAGAUUCUCAUGUCCCACAAUUGUACCCUCAUCUUGUUCUAGCUGGAUAAUUUUUUUAUUCCUAUGCUUUCCAUUAGCUAUUAGAUGGAAAUGUUGUGUGUUGUCAUCUCCUUGUACCACUUGGAGGACUUUCGCUCUUAGUGCCCACUUCAACUCCUCCUCUCUGAGUAGUUGUUUGAGCUUUAGUUCAGCCUCCAUUUUUCAAUGACCUCUCAUUGUCACCUAAUAACGUUUGUUCGGCUUUUAUGUCUAGUGUGUUUAUAAGUUUAUAAGUUCGACAAGCCUUUGUUUCUUUUUCUUAUAAAUUACACUAUCGUGCUUUUCCCAACCCCUUAAGAAUUGCCUCAGGUGUCUUAUCUUAUUUUGCCACCUGUCAACAUUCGAGUCACCUUCUGUGAAAUAGCCCAUUCUCAAACCCGUCCCUUUCAAACCAUCCCAAUUCGAAAGAAAAAAGGUUUUUAUUUCCCACAUGUGUUGCUUCUCGCGAGUCUACAAACAGUGGGGUAUGAUCAGAGAUAGCUCUUGGUAACUCUCAAACUGUGACGAGAGGGAAUUUCUGCUCCCAUUCCACACUCAUGAGAACCCGGUCCAACUUCUCAAAAGUUGGGUUAGGUAAAGAGUUUGCCCAAGUAAACUUUCUCCCUGAUAGCUCAAUCUCCCACAAAUUAAGGCUCUCGAUGAUUGAAUUAAACAUAAAUGACCAUCUUCCAUCAAAGUUAUCACUGUUUUUCUCAUCCUGCCUCCAGAUUAUAUUAAAAUCGCCCCCUACUAAAAUCGGCAGUCUCUCGUCCCCGCAGAUUCGGACAAGGUCAGCCAAGAAAUCUCUCUUGAACUCAGGCUGGGCCGCCCCAUGCACAUCUACGAGUGCCCAUUGGAACCCGUCAUCUUUGGAGCGAACUCAAAAUUUGACUGCAAAGUCUCCAUACACCACUUUCGUAGUUGUGGUGUCUCGCACCGAACCCCAAGCAAGAUCCCACCUGAUCUUCCUCUUGGAGGUAGACAAUGCCAGUCAAAUUCAGAACCUCCAUACAACGUGUUUAAAAACGAAGCUAUAUAGUUAUCUCUCCCAGUUUCCAUCAAUGCAACGAAAUCCAAUUUGUGCUCAAUAGUUGUUUCAGCUAGGAAUCUUCUUUUAGCCAAGUCUGCUAGACCUCUGCUAUUCCAAAAUGUUCCUUUCAUCGCUCAUCAUGAAAUUUCUUAGCCGUUUUAAAUCUAGCACUACGACGCACAGCUGAAACAGGAUAGACUUUUCUCUUCCAGGUUCUUUUUGGCCUAUCCUGAACCUCCGACCGAUCCACAUAACCGUUGGACUCUUGUGCGUUAGCAUUCGUUUGUGGAGGAGCCUCAUACCCCUCCUGAACGAUAUCAUUUGUGUCUUCAAGCAAAAGGGGGGUGGCACAAGAUCCUCACAUAAACGCUCUAAGGCUCCCAAACCCAAUGCAUUUAUAUCAGAAUCAUUCAUAGGUUUUACGGCUGCAAUUUUUCUGACCAUCUCAAUUGCCCUCUCUGCCUCUAAGUCUAACAUGUCAUUUACCGAUCUAGAUAUCUCCUGGUCUACCAAACGCUAGAAUAAGGCCUAGUAACGGGCCCGACCCAUGCCAUUUUGGCCCAUGACUGCAACCAAACACACCCUUAAGUAACUUCUACAAUAUCCAUCCCCAACUUCCAGAAAUUCUAACACUUAAAAAAUCAAAAUCAAACUAUUGGCAUUUAAAACUUUCAUACAUUUCAUUUCUGAAAAAAAUGGUCUUUUAGAUUUCGAAAUAUCAGUAUUAUAUUUUUUACAAAAUUUAACUUUAAGAAUUUUCAAAAUUAUAAGGAUUCAAAAUUCAAAUGUUUUAGCACUUAAAAAAAUUCAAACUUUAAAAAAAUUGAACUUUCAAAUGUUUUGAAUUUUAAGAAGUGUGAACUUUCAUUUUUUUAUAAAGGAUGGGUUUUAUUUACUCAAAAUAAAGCAUCAAGAGCAUACAAAUACAAUAAGAACACACCCGGCCACUUUAUAACUAGGAUGCACACAACCAACUCAAACUCACACACACAAAAAUACGAUCGGUAAAUAGCAAAGUCAUAUAAGACCAAAGCUAUGUGCGCGGUUGGAAAAAGAAACCAAAGCGACCAUAUUGGCAAUGGACAAACUACAACAAUGACCAUAUCUGCACCAACAAUUUCAUUACACCACACGGACAACGAGGUUCCUCAACAAUGACACCUUCAGAAAGGGAGCGACGCUCAAAUGCCGCUAUCAUCGGAUCCAACCAUCCAAGGUCAGAUGCAAGAUUUUCACUCUGAGAAUCAGUCCAAGCAUGUCCGAGCAAUUCCUUCAAUAAGGUAAUGGCGUAAAAACAUCGCCAUUGCCAGGUACAGCCAACUCGAGUUGGACCUAGGCUUUCACCCGGGAGCUCAAGACCGGGUGCUCGAGAAGCACCACCAUCGAAGUCACUAUGUGUUGUUGCCACUACUUUUCCACAAUCUCAGUAGCUAUAUGCGAUGUGUGACCGCUGAUGCUGCACAACCAUCCCUCUACAUCAAGCCAUCAUCAAUAGUUUCAAUCUCACCGUUGAAGUCAACCAUCGGAUCUCCAAGAUCAAUCAUGAAGACCUUUUGAUGGAUACUACAUCAAUCCGCCGCGAGACCGCCACCGUAGUCAUGGUGGUCACCACACGUUCGUCGUCACGCCCCUAGCAGACCUAAAGGUCCACACCAAGGAACCACGGGUCCACACGCAUGGAGCCAUGGAUGUGUGUGUGGAUCAUGAAACGACCAAUCCAUGGCCAUGGCCAUUAGAUGAGACUAUCCCUGGCUGAUGGCAGGUGUCCAAGCCCUGCCGACAUGGCCACUACACCAUGGGCGCCAUCCCACAUGAAGGAGCCACCAGGCGGAGCAGCGACCACAAGUGAGGCGAGAUCUACACCAGCAAUGGCUGGAUCAUCCAGGUAACUGUCCGCUGGAUCUGUGGUGACAUCGUUGGAGGAAGCACGGGGUAGAGAGUGUGAAUCUGGGUUGGGGGAGAGGGGAAGGUCGGGGAAGAAGAUCCCUGUGGCGGUUGAGUCCCGCCGCCGCUGACAAACUGUCAUCGAUGAUGACGACGAGGAUGGAACAUCGGAGGCGGCCUCGAGUGCUAGGGUUUCUCGCCCCCGGUGUCGCCCUGGAGCAACACGGGAGGCCGAUGGCGAUUUCAUAGGAGAGAGAGAGAGAAGGUUGAGAAAUAGAAUCACAUGGUUGGGCAUGUGAGGAAAGAGAGAGAUGGAAAGAAGCACAUGGAUGAGGCCCCCUCGUCCUAUCUACCACAUGGUAACCUGACACAGUCACAUGCAAUGCUUGCGGCAAUGACCAUGGGCACAGUUCCCACAAGAGAGCAUUCUUAGAGUAAUAGCGAGUCUCAUCCUCAUGUUGGAUGCCUAUAUAAAGCUUCUCCUUUCCAACAUUCAUCAUACGAAUUGGCCAAAAUUUCUUUCUCAUUUGUGAUCUUUCAUCACAUUCAACUUUCCUUUGUAUAUAUUGUUGCUAAGCUUCAAAUUCUAAUCAGCUGGAGCUAAGCAAUGAAUUCUUCAUGCCAUCGAGCAUUCCUCGUGAGGAACAUCUUUUGUACUUUGGAAUGAGUGGUAUCGAGAAAUUAGUCAGGACGACUUUCUGAGGCUGAGGCGCCGCUUUUUUCUGUUCUCGUCUCUGAGACGUUGAGGUGGUAGACAUUUAUGAUAAGUGCAUUUCUUGUUGAGAAUAGCAUCGAUAAUCAUGUCUAGUCUAACAACUUGCUCAUUUAGGACUACCCUGGACAGUGCAACAAGUAAAAUACCAAAUCCUUGUACAAAAACAAGUUGUUGCCCUGUGGUGAGGAGUUGAAGCUAUGGCAUGAACUCGUCCAUGUGUGCGGUAUUUCUCCUUGUUGUUUCCAUCGUCUCUAGAAAUCGCUAAAAAGAUCAAAAACAAUAUCAAACCGUUGACACUAUGUGUCUACCAUCUCACACAAAUUCGAACCCAUAUCCAUCGCAGAUCUCCAAAAACAAACAAACAAGACGGAUCCAGUGUUGAACAGCAUAGCAACUAAUUCAAAUCAGCACAUGAACACAUCAUAUCAUCAGCACCAACACAAGAUUGUUUUUUUUUCUCUUUUCUUCAAACAAUAUCCUGAUUAAGGUUUAAAUAUUCUUGUGGCGUUGUAAAUACAUGUUGUGUGUCAGAGACAUAAUUCUUUUUCAAAUAAAAAAACAUAACUUUUUUUACCACAAAUUUUUCUAGGCUUAUGUGUGUGUAUCUUCCUUGUUUCAGUUCCAAGUGACAAGAGGCAAACUUGUCACGGUUGACUGAAUAGAACAGUAGCAAUCGACCUGCCCGGAGCUUCUAUUUUUUGUAGGUGAUUUUCUCUGUUAAGAGUGACUUCUUCUUUUUUGAGAGUUUUGUUAAGAGUGACAUGAAAUCUGCAUAUGGCGAUCGAGCACGCAUGCCGGCGAUCCCACACGGCGCACCGCAGCCACAAGCCGAUCGCCCCCACAAAAUCUGCCCGACGGCUCCCACCGGGAUGGGAUUCCCCGGUGCCAAUGGCGCGCGCCCACCUCACCCCCUCUUAUCCCCGCCUCACCCACUCGCGCCACGCCCCUUAUCCCCUCCUCUUACAAACCCACACAAACUAAUCAUCGCCCACCACCCUCCAACGAUCACCAACCAAAACCCCUCCACACGCCCGCCCGCGCGCGCCACGGACGCAGCAAUGGCCGCCCUCGCCGCCUCCAUCGCCACCUCCACGGCGUUCGCCGCGAAGCCGCGCCUGUCCCGCCCGCCGGCGCGCCUCUCCGUCUCCUGCUCCGCGUCCAGCGGCGACAACAACAACAGCACCGCCACCCCCUCGCUCUCCGCCUCCAUCAAGACCUUCUCGGCCGCGCUGGCGCUCUCCUCCGUGCUCCUCUCCUCCGCCGCCACCUCCCCGCCCCCCGCGGCUGCCGACAUCGCCGGCCUGACCCCGUGCAAGGAGUCCAAGGCCUUCGCCAAGCGGGAGAAGCAGUCGGUCAAGAAGCUCAACUCGUCGCUCAAGAAGUACGCGCCCGACUCCGCCCCGGCGCUCGCCAUCCAGGCCACCAUCGACAAGACCAAGCGCCGGUUCGAGAACUACGGCAAGUUCGGCCUGCUCUGCGGCUCCGACGGCCUGCCCCACCUCAUCGUCAGCGGCGACCAGCGGCACUGGGGCGAGUUCAUCACCCCCGGCGUGCUCUUCCUCUACAUCGCCGGCUGGAUCGGCUGGGUCGGACGCAGCUACCUCAUCGCCGUCAGCGGCGAGAAGAAGCCCGCCAUGAGGGAGAUCAUCAUCGACGUCGAGCUCGCCGCCAGGAUCAUCCCCAGGGG
rnacentral:lncRNA from 1 species